AUGAAAGUUAUAGCUUGGAACUGCCGUGGGCUUGGGAACCCAUCGGCAGUUUGAAGCUUGCUCGAGCUUCAACGGGCAGAAGAUCCCGACAUCCUCUUUCUCUCUGAAACAAAGAUGAGGGAGAAGGAGAUUGAGUUCUUAAGGUGGAGAGGGAGUCUAGUUCACAUGGUGGUACAAGAUUGCGAUGGGAUAUGUGGUGGGCUGGCGCUGUUUUGGCGAAGGGGUGUGGAGGUGAAUCUCAGGUCAAAGGGCUGAUACCACAUAGAUGCGGAGGUUGUGGCAGAGAACGAUGUGAAGUGGAGGCUGACGGGGAUCUACGGAGAAUAA
rnacentral:rRNA from 1 species